rnacentral:tRNA from 1 species
UGAUUGGUGAUUCAGUGGUAGAAUUCUCGCCUUUCGUGCCAGAGGCCCGGGUUCGAUUCCCGGCCAAUGUA